GACGAAGGUGGCUAGCGUUGAUCGAAAUCACUGGGCUUAAAGCGCAUGCAGGCGGACCGUCAAGCGUCAUGUGAAAGCCCUCGGCUCAACCGAGGAACUGCAUGGCGAACUGGCGGCCUUGAGGCAGGUAGAGGCGAGUGGAACUCUUGGUGGAGCGGUGGAAUGCGUAGAUAUCAAGAGGAACACCAGAGGCGAAGGCGACUCGCUGGGCCUGUCCUGACGCUGAGAUGCGAAAGCCAGGGGAGCAAACGGGAUUAGAUACCCCAGUA
rnacentral:rRNA from 1 species